AACCCCUUUGAGCUUGUUUUAGGAUUCAUUUGAUUGAUAAGUGUAAAUUCCAUUGAAAAUUUUGCAAAUAAAUGAAUCCUAAUUUCUUUCGUUUCAAUUGAACCUUCAACCGAGUUUGUUUGCAAAUUUUUUCUUUUGCCUAUGUCUAAGUAGGGAGCAUUAUUGGAUAAAUUUGGUCUUGAAAUCUAAAGUUGGGGAGAGUAAAUUAGAAGAAUUGAUUAAAAACUUGGAAAAGUGAUGUUUUAGAAAAGGUG
rnacentral:lncRNA from 1 species